rnacentral:tRNA from 13 species
AGUGGAAUCGGGUUUCGAACCUGCGACCCUCCAGUCCCGAGGUCGAGACCUUACCACUAGGCCCCCAC